rnacentral:lncRNA from 1 species
AGACAAUAGAGGCAGCCCACGUAUGACGUCGGCUGACUGGUGUGUGCAGGCCACGAAAUAUAUUGGCAUCCCACAUUUGACGACGGGGACCGUAGCGUGCAGGCCGAAGGCGGUGUAGGCAUGCCACGUCCGACGUCGGCUGAUCGAGUUGUGCAGGCCAUGGAUGAUGGUGCCAGGCCACAUCCAACAUCAGCAGACUGAUGUGUGAAGGCUACGGACGAUGCUGGCAGGUCAUAUCCGACGUCGGCUGACCGAUAUGUGCAGGCCACGGAGGCUGCGGCCAGGCCACGUCAUACGUCGAUCAACCAAUUUGUGCAAGCUACGAACGAUGUGGGCAGGCCACGUCCGACGUCAUCUGAUCGAUCUGUGCAGGCCAAGGACGAUAGUGGCAGCCUAUACGUCCGACGUUGGUUGACAGUUGUGUGCAGGACAAAGGCGAUGCGGGGAGGCCACGUCCCACGUCGGCUGACCGUUGUGUGCAGGCCAAUGGAGAUGCCGGCAAGCCACGCCCGACUUCCGUUGACCGAAGUGUGUAGGCCUAGGGAGAUCUGGGCAAGCCACGCCUGACGACGACUGAGCGAUGUGCACAGGCCACGGUCAAUGCGGGCUUACCACGACCAAAGUCGGCUGAGCGAUUUGCACAGGUCACGGCCGAUGAGGGCAGUCCAUGACCAAUGUCGCCUGACCGGUAACGCAUGUCGUUAGCCGACGUCGCUUGCCCGAUACGCACAGGCCACGUUAGAUGCGUGCAGGUCUUGGCUG